rnacentral:lncRNA from 1 species
GAACAAGAACAAUUCAAAGACUCUCUUUGAAAGAAAACAAACUUUUAUUAAAUCAAUGAUAAUGGGUGCCAUACAAUGAAUUCAAGACUGAGCUUUUAUAGGCUCAUAAACAACAGUCUAAAGAAGCUAAUUGAGGGAAAUAAUCGAAAAAUAUAAAGAAUAUGGCCGUUGGAGCUUUGAUGACGAAAUCGGCCAAAUAAGGAAAUGUCUUGAGCUUUGUAUCUAGAGAGCUUGGGAAGAAAGGUGAGACUUCUUGGAACAUUCUGGGACGUGUGGAGAGUCUUCAAAACGCAGCAUCUUUGGUAGAUAAAGAGCCGUUGGUGGUUUAAAGCUCCUAGUGUGAAUGCGUCCAGAAAAGGAAAGUAGAAUUGUGAAAGGAUCCGCCUGAUCCUAUGGGUUCUGGUGCAUGGGAAGAAUUCUUCUAGAUGUCUAAGAGUCUCUCCUGGUCGCCAAUGAUAGUUUUGGAGUGAACCAAAUAUGGAAUGAUCCAUUUUUGGCAACAUAUGGCCCGCGGGUAAGGCCAAAUGAGUAACUCAUAAAACAACUCGAACCCGGGGUGAUUUAGCUCGCCCAUUCUUCAUAAAAUGUGCAUAAUAAUGGUGAAUGUCAAAUCUAGGUCGAGGAAAUGUGACGUUGGGUCGAUGAUAUUGUAGUUGGCUUGAUCCGGGUGGGUCUUCUUGGCGCUCGAGUUGAUUGGUUCGAUAGUUUUUGAUUCCGUCUCGCCCAAAUGUCUUGAAAUAUGUAACUUGAUGGUGAAUAUUCAAUAUGGGUCGGGAAAAGUCUUGAUCCGGUCGGUGGAUUUGAGUUUUGUGUGCUCCGGGUGAGUCAUUGUGGACCAACUUCAUUUCGGCAUGGUGAUUUAUGAUUCCAGCUGAAUCACUACUCUUCUUAGGAUAUAUUUCUUUGUAAAUUUCCAAUCCUAGGCCAGGUGCUUGAUCAGAACUUGAUUUGCGCCAAAAUUCUCCUUUUUGGUCCGGUUUGGUUUGGUUGAGGAUUGAACCGGCUGGUCUAUUUAACUCCGGAUCUGGUUUGGUUCCGAUGUCCACAUCAUACCCUCCCUCUUCAAAAAGUUUUGACCUCAAAACUGUUUCACCUGCACCAAGAGAAAACAAGUUAGGUUUCAUUCGCUUUUGUGAGUUUAGAUAGUUACCUCGGCUUUGAUUCGUUGGACAAUGUUGGGAUGAGUCGGGUGGUUUAUCCUUGUUUAUAAUGUGACAUUUAAAAACAUUUUCUUGAUGCUGGGACAAAUUUGUAUCCUUCUUCGUGAAAUCUCCUAUUCCACUCUUUAUUUCUCCAUGAAGUUCUCCUUGAAUCUUGAUAUGUUGAGGUGAAUCCGGUGGCUCCUCUUUGACCAGUACAGUGUCAAUGACACGUCUAGCAUAUCCUUUUGUUGGCGUGAGCAAAACUGACUCCAUAAUGCCUUGGUUAUGUUGUUCACUUGAGACUACGAUUUCUUUUGAUGGUACAUCUCCUUGGUAAUAGCAUUUCACCAUUGUACCUGCACCUCUAUAGACACUAAAAGGCAAGAACAAGUGCAUUAUACUUGAAAUUGAAAUUUUAAAAACAUAGAAUUGGAGACUACGAAUUAAUAUGAAAUGAUUCCCGUAUUUAUCAAAGUCUUGAAUCACACUUACUUGGAAGAUAUGGCAAUGAUUAUGCACGAAUUUCAUCUUAAUAAAAGCCUCUUUUUGGUUGAUAAAGCUCUGUUCUAGACCGUGGGGUGGUGGUUGUUCCUCUAGGAUAGCUUGGUUACCUUCGGCUUCUCGAAAACUUUGUUGUGACAAUGCUCUCGAGUGGUUCUCUUCCUUACCUAUACCUUUGUCAACUUCUUUUUGACAAAACAAGUGUAUUAUCAUAGAAUUUAAAGGUUUAAAAUCAGAAAGAUUCGGGUGAAGACUUACCUUCGGGAUAAUUUCAUGUUUUGUUUCCUUAGACAACAUGGUGUGUCGAUCUUGCUUUUGAUCCGUGGUAAAGACUUCUAUUUCUGGUUCUUUUCUUUCAACCAUGUAUUCCUCCUUAGUUUCUGGACCUGUUUCAAUUCCCUUGGACAAAGACAAGUGCAUGAUACUAGUAUUUAAAAUUUUUAAAUCUGUUUCAACUAGUUUUUCUUUUACCUUGGGAUUUUCUGUUUUUGGCUCCAUGAGGGUUACUACUCGUCUAGUUGGGCACUCCUUUGCUUUGUGUCCUCUGUUUUGACAUCGAUAACAAGUCACUUCAAAUAAAUUCAAAGUACUAGAAGACUUACCUUGAUUCGUUUUGCCUUGUGGUUCACAUAAAGACGUGAUGAUUGAGUUUUGUUGAAUCUCCUUCACUUGUACAGGUUUCUUAGCCUCUGAUUUCUUUGAUAAAGUGUUUGGGAACACUUUUAUUGGCUCAGGGAGAGGGAAAGCAUUCUUGUUCACCACUUUGGAGCUCGACUUUUGUUGAUUCUGCCUCUUUGAAUUCGUUGGUGUUACACCUUUGUCAUUGUGGUGAGCUUGGGCAGAAGCGUUCUUCACAAAUUCACCAUACAUGAGCUUUCUCAUCUCCUUCCAAGAGUAAGCUAGAUCCUUGAAGUGAAUACGUGUAGUCUCUAUCUCAUCCCACCAAUCAUAAGCUCCUCCGGUUAAAGCAUCUUCCGCAUAGGAUGUUUUCUUUUUCUCCGGGACGUGGUACCUUUCAAACCAGUCCAUUAAGGCUGCUUCCCACCGUAGGUAUGCUUCUGGUCCCUCCUUAUGACCUGAAAAAGUUAAAGGGUCUGAGCUAAUUUUCCCUCUCUUGCUAAGGUAGUUGUCUCUCGUCUUUGGUCGAGGUGAAAUUGAUGGAACUCGGUGUGACAAAAUUGUUUGGAGAGACUUCUCUUCACGAUGUGGGGAAUGGUAGUGUUGAUCCUCAUGGUAAUAUCCCUCACAGUCCUCAUAAUACCCUAAACUUGGUUGGCUCCAUUUGGUCGUUGCUUGAGGCAUGUAAGUGUAAGGCUCGACACGUUGACUAGAUGGAUAACAAUCAGGUGGCUCCGGCUCCAGUUCUUCACCAUCAGGUUCUUCUCCACAAUCAGAACUGGAAACACAUUCCUCAUACCACGUUUGUCUCCCAUAGUCAUUCUCCUCUUCUAUCAUGUCUUCGUACUCAUCCUCGUCUUGGUUCCAAUCACCUUCAUAGGAGUCAAUCUCUUCUUUCUCCAUAUAAUAGGACGCCAUUGCUCUGGUCCUUCUUAUUCGUUUGUCCUAAAACAAAGAAGAAGAAAGUGUAUCAACCUUUAGAUCAACAAAUAUGGCAAGAAAGAGUCAAGACACAAAAAUUAUGGAAAUUUGAUAUUUCUUUUUACUUUUAAAAAUAAAAUCGAAAAAUUCAAACAACAAAAGGAAAAAAAAUGAUUUAUAUUUUCUUUUUUUUUUUGAUUUAAUAAAAUAAAUUACGAAAAUUAAUUUAAAAUAAACAAGAAAGACAAUUUUUAUUGGAUUUUUCUUUUAAACCGAAAUUAAAAAUAAAUAAAAAAAAGAACACAAAUAAUAUUUUUUUUUUUUUGUUUUUAAAAUGAUACUGAAACAAAUUCAAAACACAAAAACAAAAGGAAGAAACAAAUUUUUAUUUUGGUUUUUGACUUAAUAAAAAUUAAAACAACAAAAACUGAAAAAUCGAAAAGAUAAAGGUUGGAUGAACACAACCUGGAUUUGAUAGGAGCUUUGAGCUCUGAUACCAGAUGAUAUAAGAUUGGAAUCCACCAAAUCUUAUUGAUCACAAGAUGUCAAGAGUUGAAAAGCUUUCACGCGGAAAUGGGCGUUGGUAGAGAUGGAGAUGGAGUUUGCGAUUGAUUCCACAAUCACACACGAACAAGAAGACUUGAUUCCACAAGUAAUCUGAUCCGUAAUCAAUAGAAAAGAAGUGAUUCCACACUUAGAUUCUAAAGAAAAGAACAAGAACAAUUCAAAGACUCUCUUUGAAAGAAAACAAACUUUUAUUAAAUCAAUGAUAAUGGGUGCCAUACAAUGAAUUCAAGACUGAGCUUUUAUAGGCUCAUAAACAACAGUCUAAAGAAGCUAAUUGAGGGAAAUAAUCGAAAAAUAUAAAGAAUAUGGCCGUUGGAGCUUUGAUGACGAAAUCGGCCAAAUAAGGAAAUGUCUUGAGCUUUGUAUCUAGAGAGCUUGGGAAGAAAGGUGAGACUUCUUGGAACAUUCUGGGACAUGUGGAGAGUCUUCAAAACGCAGCAUCUUUGGUAGAUAAAGAGCCGUUGGUGGUUUAAAGCUCCUAGUGUGAAUGCGUCCAGAAAAGGAAAGUAGAAUUGUGAAAGGAUCCGCCUGAUCCUAUGGGUUCUGGUGCAUGGGAAGAAUUCUUCUAGAUGUCUAAGAGUCUCUCCUGGUCGCCAAUGAUAGUUUUGGAGUGAACCAAAUAUGGAAUGAUCCAUUUUUGGCAACAUAUGGCCCGCGGGUAAGGCCAAAUGAGUAACUCCUAAAACAACUCGAACCCGGGGUGAUUUAGCUCGCCCAUUCUUCAUAAAAUGUGCAUAAUAAUGGUGAAUGUCAAAUCUAGGUCGAGGAAAUGUGACGUUGGGUCGAUGAUAUUGUAGUUGGCUUGAUCCGGGUGGGUCUUCUUGGCGCUCGAGUUGAUUGGUUCGAUAGUUUUUGAUUCCGUCUCGCCCAAAUGUCUUGAAAUAUGUAACUUGAUGGUGAAUAUUCAAUAUGGGUCGGGAAAAGUCUUGAUCCGGUCGGUGGAUUUGAGUUUUGUGUGCUCCGGGUGAGUCAUUGUGGACCAACUUCAAUUCGGCAUGGUGAUUUAUGAUUCCAGCUGAAUCACUACUCUUCUUAGGAUAUAUUUCUUUGUAAAUUUCCAAUCCUAGGCCAGGUGCUUGAUCAGAACUUGAUUUGCGCCAAAAUUCUCCUUUUUGGUCCGGUUUGGUUUGGUUGAGGAUUGAACCGGCUGGUCUAUUUAACUCCGGAUCUGGUUUGGUUCCGAUGUCCACAUCA